GCCUGGGUGGCUCAGUGGUUGAGCAUCUGCCUUCCGCUCAGGUCAUGAUCCCGGGGUCCUGGGAUCAAGUCCCACAUUAGGCU
rnacentral:tRNA from 1 species